CCUGUCCCCUGGCAGCUCUGACUGCAUCCUUGGGUGCAUAUUCCAAACGUGGGAAUGUUUUUAUUUUGGGAAUAGUCUUGGAAGGAGGAGACUGAGACCUACGAGAGCACUUCAUUUGGCCCCCUCCCAGCCACCCUGUAUCCUGUGAUCCAGCCAGGGAAUAACAACCACCUGCACGGAUAGUUCCCACAACAGCAGUGUGCUCUGAGCGUCUCCUUCCCUAAUCAUCCUCAUCACGCGACACAACGCGCGUUCAAAAUUUGGAUCCAAAAUCUGUGGCACAUGUACAGACAAACUCCUGGAUGUACCGGGGGAGUCAUCCCAGCACAAAGUCAGCUUUUGCCAUAGCAGCAAGCUUGGGUGCUGCUGGCGUGGCAUAGCCUCAAAUUCCUGAGGAAAAGACAGGCAUUACCUGCAACAGUUAGUGCAGGGAGAAGCAGGGCAGGUGGCGGACGAGAAGUUUCUCAAAGUCUUUCUCUCAGCACCACCAUUUGCUUUCCUGUGAUUUUGCAUAUGAUAGUUUUGGGCACAAUCCUUGAACAAAACAAGAACAACUCUUUUUUCCAUUUAAAGAAACUCUGGAUAGAAUAGUCCUCCAGCAGGUUGUUGGGGCAGACUUUCAUUCCUGUGCGUAUGAGAAGCGUGUGGGAAUAGAGGUAACCAGCCAGCCUGUAUCCCAGACUGAUGCCUGAAAGUUCCAUUGUUUAUUUUUUCACAUCAAUAACAAUAUUGUAAAAAUAACUUUUCAGCUGAACCUAUUUACACGCUCUCAGAUGGCUCUUGUUCUUUUUGUCCUUUCUUGGCCGUCCUCCACAGCCUUGUAAUGGAAAUCACUGCACCGUCCUCUGCUCAGCCUUUGGAUUUCUAACUCUUUUAAGGGGAGGUGUGUGUGCUCCACAAGUGUGUUUUUCCAGGAUUCUUCCUGGUCACACUGUAAAAUUGAUGCAAAGCACGUCCUACCAUUUUUCUAAGCAGAGGGAGAAAUUGUGUCAUCCCCCACAACAGGCACUUCAUUGCCACUUGACCUGUCUCCAGUCCACUGCUCAGUCCUAUCCAUAGGUAACCCAUCGUUUUAAUGGAAAGUGUUUUGAUUUAGAAGAAGGCAGAUAAUGUCUGUGUUUUUCUUGUGGGUUUUUGCCCUCACUUUAUUUCAAUUUGUACGUCAAUAACGAAGCAACUGAAUAUAAUGUAUAAAAAUCCAUUUGUUUUCUGAAAUUAAGUGAACUUCAUCCAAGCUCAAAAUCCUGACAGUCACUUCUAACAUUUGGAAGAUUUUGCAAAUGCACUCUGAAAAAAAUAUUUUGACAUCUAGGCUGUCAGAUAAUCUGUCAGCAACGGUUAUAUCAUUCAGGGAGAGAACUCUUAGUUUCCAGAGUAAUUUAUUGGGAAAAUAAUGUAUUUACUGCAGUGAAAUAUCCUGCUGGAUGCUAGAAAAGCUACUUAGCAUUUGUGCAGGCAGAGUAGUUGGCUUCAGAACGUGGGUUGUUCUCUUGUGACAAAAACACAGGAAAAGAAAUUCUUGCCAGAAACCAUCAGUGAAGAGCAAGUACCUGCAAAUGGCAGGAUGGCCCCAGACAUGCAGGAAGCGUUAGGAACUCCAUGCAGAGGGAUGAAAUGCCUGGAGAAAAGGGGAGGAGGGCUUAGGGUCACCCUUCUUACAGAAUAGGCUCAUGGGGCACAGUGGAUCAUACACCAAAUGCUUUACUUGGAAUGAUCUUUAAAAGCCAGGGGAGUUCUCAGCACUGCAGUGCUGUGCCCAGAAAAAA